GCCGUUUGACUGCAUGCUCCAGCCUCCUGUUUAUUGUGAUGCAACAUGGUUCUACGCAGGCAUACACACACACACACACGCUCACACUCACUCACACACACUCACUGCACACUCAUACACUCCCUCCCACACUCAUGCACUCACGCUCACACACACUCAUCACACAAUCAUACACUCCCUCCCACACUCACACCUGCUCACACUCACAUACACACUCAUCACACUUAUGCACUCCCUCCCACACUCACACACGCUCACAUACUCAUCACACACUCAUAAACACCCAGACUCACACACAGAUGCUCACACACACUCAUACAAUACCCCACACUCACAUGCUCACACUCAUCACACACCCCUACACUCACACUCUCACUUGUACUCACACACUCACAUGCCCAUGCAUGCACGCACACACUCUUUACACACACUACACACACUUACUAUGAUACACUCGCACACCCUCACACACACUCAUUACACACUCACAAGGUCACUUACACACACAUUCCUUCACACACUCAUCAAACACACACAUUCACUCACACACUCAUACACUCACAUACACAUGUAUCUCACACAACCCACACUCUCACACACAUUCACACACUCAAUAACUCACACACUGACAGGAAUAUUUUCUCAUUCACCCACACAAAAAAACCACUAGUUUUGAAACAAUUAGAUUCCCUGAGAAUUGAUGUCUCCCUGACACAAUCAUACUUUAAAAGGCAGGUCUUAAGUGAAGGGAUGACUUUAUCGUUUAAUUUUAUCAAUAGUUGGGCGUAAGUAAAACUUUCUUGAAUAGGAACUUACAGUACUGAUGAGAAAGACCCACAGGACUGUUCAUGAAUAAACAUGAAUG
rnacentral:lncRNA from 1 species